GCGGUCGUGGCGAAAUUGGUAGACGCGCAGCCUUGAGGUGGCUGUGGCGAAAGUCAUGAGAGUUCGAGUCUCUCCGACCGCACCA
rnacentral:tRNA from 1 species